rnacentral:lncRNA from 1 species
UCGGGUUCUGAAAAAUUCGGGGCGGGUCCUUUCACAUCGGAAUGAUGUCGGGAAUUUUCUCAGGAUUUGCCUCGGGUUUUAGGAAAUUCGGGGCGAGUUCUUACAAUACAUGUUAAAAAUAAUUUUUAAAAAAACUCAUCCCUUUUCUCCAACCCCAGCCAACCCUCUCUCCCUCCUGACUCUCCCACUUCUCAGUCACCACUCUAUCGUCGUAGCCCAAAGAACCACCCAGCCACCUCCCAAAACCCACCAAGCCCGCCACCACCCAAAAGAAUCUAGUGCCAAUUCAGAUGAUGAAGACGAAUUGGAGGGGAAAUUUGCAGACCCAUGUCCACCACCUCCUCCU